GACGAACGCUGGCGGCGUGCCUAAUACAUGCAAGUAGAACGCUGAAGAGAGGAGCUUGCUCUUCUUGGAUGAGUUGCGAACGGGUGAGUAACGCGUAGGUAACCUGCCUUGUAGCGGGGGAUAACUAUUGGAAACGAUAGCUAAUACCGCAUAACAAUGGAUGACACAUGUCAUUUAUUUGAAAGGGGCAAUUGUUCCACUACAAGAUGGACCUGCGUUGUAUUAGCUAGUAGGUGAGGUAAUGGCUCACCUAGGCGACGAUACAUAGCCGACCUGAGAGGGUGAUCGGCCACACUGGGACUGGGACACGGCCCAGACUCCUACGGGAGGCAGCAGUAGGGAAUCUUCGGCAAUGGGGGCAACCCUGACCGAGCAACGCCGCGUGAGUGAAGAAGGUUUUCGGAUCGUAAAGCUCUGUUGUAAGUCAAGAACGGGUGUGAGAGUGGAAAGUUCACACUGUGACGGUAGCUUACCAGAAAGGGACGGCUAACUACGUG
rnacentral:rRNA from 1 species